UGUUGUCAUUGUAUCUUGCAGAUGGAAAAAAUCGUUAUUUUGACACUUGUCAUCCUCUCAUACGUGGCACUUUCUUCAGCCGAUCACCAUAGCAUUAACGUUACAACAGUACCAGAUCCAAGUCCAUCAAUGCCACAUCCAGCUGCAAGUAAGACUUAAUUUUAACUUAUUUAGUUACAAGGCAAAGAGAGAAAGUGCUUAGAUUAAAAUUAAAACAUCAAAGUGGAAGUGGAAUUGGCUUGGGCAAUCAGACCAUGAAAUGUGGGUUCCCUGUGACUAUACCUAGGGCUCUCACUCCUGCACAUUAAGUAAGACACUCACAGAAACAAUUUUAAUCUUGCACUCUUAAGCUGAAAUGAUUAUUUCUCAUGCAUUUAAUGUUUCUGAUUUAAGAUGUUGAAUGAAAGGAACAAAAGGAGUGCAUGUUUCAGCUACUUAAUUUUUUUUCACAAUUUUCUAAGGGAGAACAGUUAGUCCUGUUUCCUUUUACUUACUGCCCAGGUUCAGCCUCUAUGGCAUGAGGUGACAGCUGUGUUUAAUUAGGUUACUAACAUCACUGUUUUCUUUUUUUUUUUCUUUCUUUAUCUAUAGCUGCACCUCCACCAAGUCCAGGUGGUGAUCCAUCAACAACACCAACAAGUGGAGCUGUUUCCUUCUCAGCCAGUGCAGGCCUCAUCGUUUCUCUCAUUUUGGCUUUGUUGCAUUAAGCAGGAAGACUCCUUGCUCCUUGUUUGAAGCCAUGUAGUUUUUUAUCUCUUUUUACUGUUGAUUUAAGAGUGCAAUUCUCAGCUUAAACCUCGCAGCAUAUUAAACUCCAAAUUUAUGAAAGGGAAGCCUGGAAGUUGCCUUCUAACACACACAUUGUCAUGGAGCUCUGUGUAAUAACAAUUGUGAAAGGCUAAACCGUGUCUGUAGGAGGCAAGCUUGAAGUUUGAUGCAUGUUAAGGGUGUUUGGCUGAGUUUAAAAAUAUAUUGCAAACUUGUAUAUCUCUUAAAACUCCAAAAUAUUCCAUAGGAUUACAUGUAGCCACCAGUGAGCAUAUUAGGUGUUCAGGAUGACCUUUUUUUUAUAUAGAAAUUUUGCCUUGUUUGUGAACAAUAAAGCAUCAACUUAUAAAUAUG